rnacentral:rRNA from 1 species
AUUGAACGCUGGCGGCAGGCCUAACACAUGCAAGUCGAGCGGAUGAAGGGAGCUUGCUCCUGGAUUCAGCGGCGGACGGGUGAGUAAUGCCUAGGAAUCUGCCUGGUAGUGGGGGACAACGUUUCGAAAGGAACGCUAAUACCGCAUACGUCCUACGGGAGAAAGCAGGGGACCUUCGGGCCUUGCGCUAUCAGAUGAGCCUAGGUCGGAUUAGCUAGUUGGUGAGGUAAUGGCUCACCAAGGCGACGAUCCGUAACUGGUCUGAGAGGAUGAUCAGUCACACUGGAACUGAGACACGGUCCAGGCUCCUACGGUAGGCAGCAGUGGGGAAUAUUGGACAAUGGGCGAAAGCCUGAUCCAGCCAUGCCGCGUGUGUGAAGAAGGUCUUCGGAUUGUAAAGCACUUUAAGUUGGGAGGAAGGGUUGUAGAUUAAUACUCUGCAAUUUUGACGUUACCGACAGAAUAAGCACCGGCUAACUCUGUGCCAGCCGCCGCAGUAAGAC